rnacentral:rRNA from 1 species
CGUAGGGCGCAAGCGUUGUCCGGAAUUAUUGGGCGUAAAGAGCUCGUAGGUGGCUUGUCGCGUCUGCCGUGAAAGACUCGGGCUUAACUCGGGUUCUGCGGUGGAUACGGGCUGGCUAGAGGCAGGCAGGGGAGAACGGAAUUCCUGGUGUAGCGGUGAAAUGCGCAGAUAUCAGGAGGAACACCGGUGGCGAAGGCGGUUCUCUGGGCCUGGCCUGACGCUGAGGAGCGAAAGCGUGGGGAGCGAACAGGAUU